rnacentral:rRNA from 1 species
GUGGGGAAUUUUGGACAAUGGGCGAAAGCCUGAUCCAGCAAUGCCGCGUGUGUGAAGAAGGCCUUCGGGUUGUAAAGCACUUUUGUCCGGAAAGAAAUCUGUCUGGCUAAUACCUAGAUGGGAUGACGGUACCGGAAGAAUAAGCACCGGCUAACUACGUGCCAGCAGCCGCGGUAAUACGUAGGGUGCGAGCGUUAAUCGGAAUUACUGGGCGUAAAGCGUGCGCAGGCGGUUUUGUAAGACCGAUGUGAAAUCCCCGGGCUUAACCUGGGAACUGCAUUGGUGACUGCAAGGCUAGAGUGCGUCAGAGGGGGGUGGAAUUCCGCGUGUAGCAGUGAAAUGCGUAGAGAUGCGGAGGAACACCGAUGGCGAAGGCAGCCCCCUGGGAUGACACUGACGCUCAUGCACGAAAGCGUGGGGAGCAAACAGGAUUAGAUACCCGAGUAGUCC